rnacentral:rRNA from 1 species
GGUUGACCUCGGAUCAGGUAGGGAUACCCGCUGAACUUAAGCAUAUCAAUAAGCGGAGGAAAAGAAACCAACAGGGAUUGCCUCAGUAACGGCGAGUGAAGCGGCAACAGCUCAAAUUUGAAAUCUGACCCUUUCAGGGCCCGAGUUGUAAUUUGUAGAGGAUGUUUCGGGUGCGGCGCCGGUCUAAGUCCCUUGGAACAGGGCGUCAUAGAGGGUGAGAAUCCCGUAUGUGACCGGUGACCAACCCCAUGUGAAACCCCUUCGACGAGUCGAGUUGUUUGGGAAUGCAGCUCAAAAUGGGUGGUAAAUUUCAUCUAAAGCUAAAUACCGGCCAGAGACCGAUAGCGCACAAGUAGAGUGAUCGAAAGAUGAAAAGCACUUUGGAAAGAGAGUCAAACAGUACGUGAAAUUGUUGAAAGGGAAGCGCUUGCGACCAGACCUGUCCGCGGGUGAUCAACCGUUAUUCUUAGCGGUGCACUCGCCCGCGAUCAGGCCAGCAUCGGUUUGAGCGGCUGGAUAAAGGCCUCGGGAAUGUAGCUCCCUCCGGGGAGUCUUAUAGCCCGUGGUGCAAUGCGGCCAGCCCGGACCGAGGACCGCGCUUCGGCUAGGAUGCUGGCGUAAUGGUCGUAAGCGACCCGUCUUGAAACACGGACCAAGGAGUCUAACAUCUAUGCGAGUGUUUGGGUGUCAAACCCAUGCGCGGAAUGAAAGUGAACGGAGGUGGGAACCCUGAAGGGCGCACCAUCGACCGAUCCAGAUGUCUUCGGAUGGAUUUGAGUAUGAGCAUAGCUGUUGGGACCCGAAAGAUGGUGAACUAUGCCUGAAUAGGGUGAAGCCAGAGGAAACUCUGGUGGAGGCUCGCAGCGGUUCUGACGUGCAAAUCGAUCGUCAAAUUUGGGUAUAGGGGCGAAAGACUAAUCGAACCAUCUAGUAGCUGGUUCCUGUCCGAAGUUUCCCUCAGGAUAGCAGUAACGUUUUCAGUUUUAUGAGGUAAAGCGAAUGAUUAGAGGCCUUG